AUAUUUUGAAUUAAGUAUAUUCAUAAUAUUCAUAAUAUGUUAUCAGACGAAUGUUGUUAAAGAUAUAGGUUGAUAUUUGUGAAGGGAAAGAGUUGCCUCUCUCCCAACAAACAUUGCACACAAGGUGGAUAUGGAUUUUUAAAGAGUGCCAUAAAACACUCAUUGUGAAUGAUCCUUCCGCAGGUUCACCUACGGAAA
rnacentral:misc_RNA from 1 species